GGGGAAUUUUCCGCAAUGGGCGAAAGCCUGACGGAGCAAUACCGCGUGAGGGAGGAAGGCUCUUGGGUUGUAAACCUCUUUUCUCAGGGAAGAAUUCUUGACGGUACCUGAGGAAUAAGCAUCGGCUAACUCCGUGCCAGCAGCCGCGGUAAUACGGAGGAUGCAAGCGUUAUCCGGAAUGAUUGGGCGUAAAGCGUCCGCAGGUGGCAAUGUAAGUCUGCUGUCAAAGCGUCUGGCUCAACCAGAUACAGGCAGUGGAAACUACAUAGCUAGAGUAAGGUAGGGGUAGAGGGAAUUCCUGGUGUAGCGGUGAAAUGCGUAGAGAUCAGGAAGAACACCGGUGGCGAAGGCGCUCUGCUGGACCUUAACUGACACUGAGGGACGAAAGCUAGGGGAGCGAAUGGGAUUAGAUACCCCAGU
rnacentral:rRNA from 1 species